AGAUGUAUGUUUAAUCGUCGAUGAUAUUAUGAUAAAAUAUCGUGAAAACGAGCUAUACACAAUACUCCAUAAUUGAUGUAGAAUCUACAUAAGAUUGCACUGUCAAAAAAGAGAAUUUUGUAUUCCGUAGUAAAUUAUCGAUAUUCAUUCCGUUGACAUUUAUGUAGCAUCGCGAUAUAUCAAUAAUUUCGAGGUUGAGGUAUGUAAGUAAAGAACAGCCUUGACCACCAGUAUCAUACGUUCGGUCACGUUAAUUAAUACAAACGUAAGAAAGUGCAAUUCGUAAACCAAUGUCAUAGUGAUCGACGACGACAUCAUGUUGCAACCGGUCGUAAGGCAACCAUGAUGUAAACUAAAGCGAUUGCAGUGCCAUUCAUGACUUUUUACGAACUAAUUGACUAAUUGACGUGGAUAUCAGCAUAUGGAUAUUCAGAAAUCGACGGUAUUUGAUUUAGUAUACAAAUAUUUACGAAAAUGCGCCGAUCGGGAUGUGAAAUGGAAGCAACGAAAUUGCGCGUGCAAUAAAUUUCAAAAGCAACAUGCGAGAAGAAAGGAUAUUCAAAAACGAGAUGUACCGAUACCGCGCGUCAAUUUCCAUCAAAGUUUUGACGACAACAACGAGCAGUUUAAGUCAGAUAAAAUUAAAUGUGCCAACAAGAUAGUUAGGAAGAAAAGAAGAUGUACUGCGUAUUAUGCGAAAGCUAUCCACGAUGGAUCAAAACACGCAAAAUGCUACAUCAAGGAAGCACUCUUAUAUGGAUUACUAUCCGGAUUAUUAAUUCCGAGUGAUGAACAAAACAUGUUGCGUGUCUCGCGAAAAUUGGGAAACAUUUGUCCGUCG
rnacentral:lncRNA from 1 species